rnacentral:ncRNA from 2 species
CAAUGAGGUAGAGGUCGCGAAGCUUAUUAAUCCUGUGGAGUGCAAGAGACAUGAAGAAGCAGGUCUAGGAAGUUUCGCCGAAAUGUACAGAAUUCUCUUUUUGUUCUGUAUGUUGGGACGCAAGCGAAUAACUUGCGGACUGUCUUAGCAGUGAUGCUAAGUUGCGCUAUGUUUUGU